UCUCGAUUGGUCUAGUGGUCAGGAUACCUGCUUGUCAUUAACGGUUAGUCCCACCUGCUUGGUGGGGCACUGCAGUCCCGAGUGACUGAGUUCCGAGCAACUCGCAGGUGGCCGGGGUUCGAUUCCCCGAUCGAGAG